AGCGAACGCUGGCGGCAGGCCUAACACAUGCAAGUCGAACGAAACCUUCGGGGUUAGUGGCGCACGGGUGAGUAACGCGUGGGAACGUGCCUUUAGGUUCGGAAUAACUCAUGGAAACUUGUGCUAAUACCGGAUAAGCUCUUCGGAGAAAAGAUUGAUCGCCUUUGGAUGGGCCCGCGUUGGAUUAGCUAGUUGGUAGUGUAAAGGCCUACCAAGGCUACGAUCCAUAGCUGGUUUGAGAGGAUGAACAGCCACAUUGGGACUGAGACACGGCCCAGACUCCUACGGGAGGCAGCAGUGGGGAAUCUUGCGCAAUGGGCGAAAGCCUGACGCAGCCAUGCCGCGUGAGUGAUGAAGGUCUUAGGGUUGUAAAGCUCUUUAACCCGGGACGAUAAUGACGGUACCCGGAGAAGAAGCCCCGGCUAACUUCGUG
rnacentral:rRNA from 1 species